AGGGCACCACCAGGAGUGGAGCCUGCGGCUUAAUUUGACUCAACACGGGGAAACUUACCCGGCCUGGACACUGGAAGGAUUGACAGAUUGAGAGCUCUUUCUUGAUUCAGUGGGUGGUGGUGCAUGGCCGUUCUUAGUUGGUGGAGCGAUUUGUCUGGUUAAUUCCGAUAACGAACGAGACUCUAGCCUAUUAAAUAGGCUCCCGGCUUUUAAACGCCGGGAGGACUUCUUAGAGGGACAGGUGGCGGUUCAGCCGCACGAAAGAGAGCAAUAACAGGUCUGUGAUGCCCUUUGUUGUCCGGGGCCUCACGCGCGCUACACUGAAGAGAUCAGCGUGCUUUAUGUUCCUGCUCCGACCGGAGUGGGGAACCCAGUGAACCUUCUUCGUGAUUGGGAUAGAAGAUUGUAAUUAUUCUUCUUGAACGAGGAAUUCCCAGUAAAUGCGAGUCAUAAGCUCGCGUUGAUUACGUCCCUGCCCUUUGUACACACCGCCCGUCGCUACUACCGAUUGAACGAUUU
rnacentral:rRNA from 1 species